AAUGGCUCCCUGAUUCUCAUGCGAUCAUUAGGAUUUGGCAAAUGUGUGCUAUAAAUACAAGAUGCUAUGCACAGCCUGAUGCCUGCACCUAUGCCAGCAUUAUAAUCACCCACAGCAGGAAAGAACAUUCUCCAUCAGUUCAAAGCAGCAGGAACUUCACAGUUGCUGAUUCUGAAGUGGAUGUAAUCUAUGCAGCUGUUGUGAGCACACAUUAGGAUUGAGUGUUUACAACUGAGGCUGCACUGUUCCCCAGAUCAAAGUCAAGGAGCAUCAUUGGAUUCACCAGCUUCUAAACCUGACAUAGUUAUUCUAUGAAAAUAAUUUUAUAGGUAUCUCUAUUUAACUGUGUUAAUACAUUUAUAAAUGCAAAUGAGUCUAAACACUUUAAAUGUAUCUAAUAUGUUCUGUCAAUCUGUAUGCCUGUGCCUACAUCUGUAAUAGGGCAGUAUUCGUUGUGCAUCCAGUUUACCUGAAGAUGAUGUGUUGGAUGGCUUCUUAUUACAUGACCUCAAAAGGCAGCUAGAUAACAAAAUGACAUGAUAUUCUCCAGUAUAACUUUAGUAUUCUUAGUAUUGUUAAGGAUUACCUGUUCAUAGAUUCUUUGUUUUCUCCAAAAAUACUGUAAAAGCAGAAAAUGGUUUCAGCUGUGAAGCACCAUCCAAGUUGCCAUUACAUACGAACUCAGCUCAGCUCUUUCUUUUUAAAAGAAACAAAACUGAAGACUUCAAUCUUUGAAGCAGUGCCAAUGAGAACAAAAAGAAAAGCAUUGUACUUGUUGUUGCAACUUCUAAAGAGCAGUACAGUAAGGAUAGAAAGCAAACAUCUGAACAUGGAUUGGCAGUCAAGUGACACUGUUAGAAUUUAAGUUAUUCAAAGGAAGAAUGAAUCUUCACUUCUUAGAUCAAUAAAUAGCUGAAAACAUAAGACAGGCAGUCAAACUUCUUCCUGGUUUGGGAAAUGAAAGAUCAUGAAAAAUGAAAUCCUCAGUGUUCCUAGAGAUUACCACAAAGAUCCUGACAAUAUUUCUAAUUUUAGAAGAUCAGUUUUUAAGAUUUAAGUCAACUUCUGGAUUUGUAGAUUUUGAGCUGAUGUCAUAUUGUCAGCAGUGAAGUGAAAACAAAUUAAUUGGCAGAUUUCGAUGCAAAGGCACAGAAUGAAACUUCCAUGAAAGGCUCAUGGAACUGGCCAUUGCCUCUGUUUGCAAAAGCAGUCAGAAUGGUCAGUAGCAUCUGUAGGUGCUUGACUGUUGUUUUGAUGGCUGAAAUUGUUGUCCCAGAUCAUCAAUAUCACCUAACCUUGUACAAGAUGGAGAGUAUCUCUUCCACCAAAAGCACGUCCAGCAUCUUGUACACAUACGUGUACAGGCUAUGUUCUACAAGAGGACAUUGGGCUAAAACAAGCAGAAAGAAACCCAGAGUGCAACACAAUUCUCCAGAGCGUGUGAGGAAGAGCCAACCAAACAGCAAUGCCAAAGAUGUUUCCAAACCCUGUCCAUGGCAAGUAAGCAUAUUGUCAAAGUCCAAGAGGUAACAACAGCAUUACAGUUUACAGACCCCAGUCAGGCAGUACAUGUGGUCAAUUUGAUACACCACGUGGAUGCCAUCAGAAAUAUUGAAACUGUUACCUUCAUCCAAAUGAUAUACCCUAAAACUAUAAUGCCUAGUAUGUGUUAUAGCAUGCGAAAGAUGGUAGCAGAAUAGUAGUGCUGCACUUGAGCUCCGGAGCACAUUCACUUCCAUCUGCUUUUUU